GAUAUGCGAUAAGUAAUGUGAAUUGCAGAAUUCAGUGAAUCAUCGAAUCUUUGAACGCACCUUGCGCUCCUUGGUAUUCCUUGGAGCAUGCCUGUUUGAGUAUCAUGAAAUCUUCAAAGUAAAUCUUUUGUUAACUCAAUUGGUUUCUACUUUGGUAUUGGAGGUCUUUGCAGCUUCACACCUGCUCCUCUUUGUUCAUUAGCUGGAUCUCAGUGUUAUGCUUGGUUCCACUCGGCGUGAUAAGUUAUCUAUCGCUGAGGACACUGUAAAAGGUGGCCAAGGUAAAUGCAGAUGAACCGCUUCUAAUAGUCCAUUGACUUGGACAAUACUUUUAUGAUCUGAUCUCAAAUCAGGUAGGACUACCCGCUGAACUUAAGC
rnacentral:misc_RNA from 1 species